rnacentral:lncRNA from 1 species
UCUAAUUCUGAAAAUUCCAAGUACCUCAAGUCAGGCAUAAUUUUGAAUCCCAGUCGAACAAUGUUAUCUUUGCUUGAAUCCAAGAUCCUAAUUUUUUCCAAAUUAUAAACAAUGGAGAAGGCCUCGAAAAUAUUCUCAGAUAUCCAGAUGUGAUGAAACCUACCCAUAUACAAGCAAUGGAGAUGGCGAUGCCUAGAUACCAAGAAUUGACUAGAGAUGUAGAAUAAUAAGAACAUCGAGGAUCAUCA